GAAGGACUUGGUCCUUAACACACGUGUCUCCUUACCCUUCUUUUUCUCCCUCUCUCUCUCUAUCUCUCCUCCUUGCCUACGCUGCUUCCUCUCCUCUUUUCGUUAAUUCUUCUUUUUUCUAUCUUCCUUCUGAAUUCCUCUCCUCUUUUCGUUAGAGCUCUGGUUAGUAAUGGCGGGAUUGGCAAUUUCACCUCCUCUCAGUCUCACCUUCUCUUCUCGAACAAGAAGAACUUCGUUCCCCAUCAUGGACUCAACGGUAGUGAGGAGGUGAACCAAACACUUCAAUCCGGAAACCAAGCACUCAGGCGUGGCUGAUCUCAGACGCAGAAGCUGAUGUUGUCUUGUCUUUCUUGGCUAGUUUAGUUUUGGGUAUCUAGUUUGUUUAGUCUCUAGCCGCUUACAUUAGAAGAUGCAGGCCUUUGCAAUGAGUUAACAGUUGGGUAGCUAGUUAGUUUAGUUCUCUAGCCUCUUACAGUAGUAGUGUAGCUUGAUUUAUGGUUCCCAUUUGUGUUUUUGUCUGGUUUCAUGGUGUCAUGUUAUGUAGCAGGGGGUGAUGGUCAGCCGUUUGUGGGGAAGAUCAUAACAAUGAAGUAUGGAGACUAUAGAAGAAGAGUUGGGAUCGAUGGUACAGCUGAAGCCAUCAAAGAAGCUAAAAGAAUAGCUGUUAGAGUGUGUCACUAUGAUGAGUCUGAUCCGUUACCAGUUCAUCAAGAGGAGAAGGUGUUUUACACGGAAGAGGAUUACAGAGAGUUCUUGGGACUAAGAGGAUGGACGUGUCUGAGAGAGUUUGAUGGAGGGUUUAUCAUUGUACAUACCAUGAAAUAUUAACAAAGUGAGGCUCACCAUUGUACAUACCAUUUUGUUUAGGGUCCUUAACUA